AGUUAAUGAGUUUUUCCAUUAACAAGAAUUUCUUAAAAUAAUAAUGUAUGAAUAUCAUUUGGAAAGUGACAUGAAAUGUUGUUUAAAAGUGAUGCAUACAAGUGUUUCAGAAGUCUGUCUAGGAAUAGAACAACAACUGAAGCUGACCAGUUGAUGAAAGAUACUGCAGAGUUUGGCAGGGAAAUAACCCAAGACAGCAAAGCGGCUCUAUUGGCGCAUUUACUAAGAGGACUAACAUGGCCACAAAUUCAUGAGAUCAUGCAGGAGCCGUACAGUAUAACAGCAGUACAAGUUCUAUAAAAGAUGCACGACCUACUGAAGCCCAGCUAAUUAACAAAAAAGUUUUUAAAACUGUAAUUUUAUCCCACCUGGGUACUUAUAAUUUACUAAGCUGCCUACACAAGUUUUAGACUUGCAAUUAUAUUUUAAACUGUCACUUGGAAAGUAAUACAUGUACAUGCAUUAUGUUCUGAAUUUCUUUGAACAAUAAAAUUAUAUAAAAGUAUUUUAAUGAAAUUGAGCACCUAAAUUGCAUUAAAGUGAAAGUAGCUGAGAAAAAUAGUAUCCUUGUGCUCAUGGGCAGCUACAUAUAUUGUGACAAACAUGAAUUAGCUAAAAUAACUUAAAUUUUUCAUUUUGUUUCUUGUAUAUCGUUUGUACAGGGUUCGUGAAUUGUUACUGUAUAUUACUUGACUUGCUUGUAUUUUGUUACUUUGAAUACAUGUUGUGAAGGUUGCAUUAUACUUUUUAACUUUUAAAGUAGCGCCUGUUCUGUUAUGUAAGGGCCUGAUUUAUGAUAAUGAACAUAGAGGCUUUGUAAGCAUGUAUUAAACAACACUUGUUUGAUCUGAAUAAUUUGUUAAAUAAAUGUAACACAAUUUGUAAUCUGAUGUUAUAUUUUGAUGAAUUGUGAACAAAAUAAUACAUCGAAGAAACUAAGGCAUUAUGUUGAUUUUUUGUUUUGUUUUAA